rnacentral:ncRNA from 1 species
UUUAAAGCGUAGAUGAAGACAGUAGCAUUAAGCAAAAGUCACAAGAGAGAGAACGUCAUGGGCUGUAAGCGUUCUUUGAUGGGCUUGAUGUGAAUACCACUUCGGAGCUGCGGACUGAACAAUUUAUAUUAAGUAAGUUUUGCCGUAUUCCUUACGAAACAAGGACGAACUAAGUGACAGCAUUAUAUGCUGUAAUUAGGGUGGAACCGUGUAUAUUUAUGCACCCCUAAG